rnacentral:rRNA from 1 species
AUGCCGCCGCCGCCUGAGGACCAUCCCAUGCCGCGGCCGAAGCCGAAGCCGAAGCCUCCCAAGCCCAGGCCCAGGCCGGAGACGAUGAAGCCGGAGCCGGUGCGCGACCAGACCGACGGCGUCCUCCCGUUCCCUGCCGACCCCUUGGCCUGCGCCGCCCACUGCUCGGAGACGUGCGCCCACUACGGCCUCUGCCGGCCGCCGCCGCCCUCGCGCACCGCCACCGUGCACCUCCGGCCCUCCUCUCGCCUCCCCACCCCGCUCAUCGCCCUGUCGGCGUCCGUCCUCGCCGUGUCCGUGCUCCUCCUCCUCGUCCUGCUCGUCUGCCACGUCGUCCGCCGGCGCGGGCGCCAGGCCGCCAACGCCGCGCCGCUGCACCACCAGGUCGCCCAAGCGGGGCUUCCGGCCGACAUGGCGAUCCCGGUGCCGGCGGACAGCGACUCCGACGACGGGGUGCACCACGUGUGGUACAUACGCACCGUGGGGCUCGACGAGCGCGCCAUCGCGGCCAUCACCGCGCUGGUGUACGACCCCGACAAGUGCCGCGCCCUGGGGCUCGGCGGCGACGGCUGCGCGGUGUGCCUCGCGGAGUUCCGCGGCGGGGAGACGCUGCGCCUGCUGCCGCGGUGCGCCCACGCGUUCCACCGCGGCUGCAUCGACACCUGGCUCCGCGCCCAUGUCAACUGCCCGCUCUGCCGCGCUCCUGUCAAGGUCGCCGCUGGCGCUCACCAGACCGCCGCCCCCGGUAACGACGCGAGCGAGCCCGCGGCGAACCUAGCCGCGGCCGCUGGUGCAGGCGCCGAGGAGACCGGGGGCGAUGGCGUCCUGUCCACGGAGAUGGCUGUGAGGCGCGCCGCGUCCAUGGUGGCGCUCCCGAGGCUGCCGUGGCCGGACGUCUCCCUACGGCCGCUGGCGUCGAACAGUGCGCGCGAGGGGGAGAUGGGCCUAGCGAAGAUCAGUAGAGCGCUGAAAUCGUGCGAAGCGUUGGAGAUGGCCGGCGUCGCGGUAGGCAGGUCGGCGUCGUUUGGCGCCGUGCCGCCACGUUUGCCGUGGCGGUCAGGCCAGCCGGCCACAGGCAUCAACGCCGAUGAGAUCCAACGUUGA